CAGAGGAUAUAUUCUUCACAAUGCUGUCAGUGUGAUGUAUGGAGUCUUCAAUAUAUGAGGAAGAAGAAUAAUCAGGAUAAGGCCCAAUUUUUGGCACACGCCUAUUAUGUGAUAGGUUGCUUGAAGAAAGAAAAAAAAAGAAAACGUUAGGGACAGCCUUCACUGAAGUGAUCAAGCACUGGAACAUUCACAGAUGAAAACAUUGCAGAAGAGAAUCAGCUGAAGGAAAAGAGGGUCCAUAAAAGAAGACUGCAAGGGAAUGACAUAAAGGCAAAGAAAAGGCUGUUACACAAACAUGAAAAGGGAAGCUAAAGGGAUGAGAGGUUAAAGAACAAUAAGAGGAAGCCUACAGUGCAAAUGAUUAUUGAAUGAACUGUCAUUUAAGAGAAACCUGGGAGAGACUGGAGACAGGUUUCUCUGUAGCUUUGGAUCCUGUCCUGGAACUCACUGUGUAGACCAGACAGCCUCAAACUCACAGAGAUCUACCUGCCUCUGCCUCCUGAGUGCUAGGAUUGAAGCGUGCACUACCGCCGCCCAGCAACUCAAAGGUAUUUAAAGUAGGAGCUUGUGGUGUAUACCUUUAAUCCCAGAACACAGAAGGCAGAGGCAGGCGGAUCUCUGUGAGUUCGAGGCCAGCCUGAUCUACAAAGCUACACAGAAAAACCAAAAAGGAGCUUCAGGUGACUCAUUUUUUUUUUUUUUAAGACUUUUAAAUUUCAUCUAUUUCAUGUAGUUGCCUGUAGAUGUGUAUGUGGCUCAUGUUCAUGUGUGGUAUCUGUAUAGGUUAGAAGAUGAAGUAGGACUCCCUGGAAUGGAGUUACAGAUGGUUAGGAACCACCAUGUGGAUGGGUGCUGGGAACUGAACCAGGGUUUGCUUAAAGAGCAACAAGGGCUCUAACUGAGCCAUCUCUCUAGUCCCUUCAUCUGACUCUUGACAGACAUAUAAACUGCAUGUUUUACAGAUUAUGAGGCAGCAGAAAUA